rnacentral:rRNA from 1 species
AUUGAACGCUGGCGGCAUGCCUUACACAUGCAAGUCGAACGGUAACAGGUCUUCGGAUGCUGACGAGUGGCGAACGGGUGAGUAAUACAUCGGAACGUGCCUAGUAGUGGGGGAUAACUACUCGAAAGAGUGGCUAAUACCGCAUGAGAUCCACGGAUGAAAGCAGGGGAUCGCAAGACCUUGUGCUACUAGAGCGGCCGAUGGCAGAUCAGGUAGUUGGUGGGAUAAAAGCUUGCCAAGCCGACGAUCUGUAGCUGGUCUGAGAGGACGAUCAGCCACACUGGGACGGAGACACGGCCCAGACUCCUACGGGAGGCAGCAGUGGGGAAUUUUGGACAAUGGGCGAAAGCCUGAUCCAGCAAUGCCGCGUGCAGGAUGAAGGCCUUCGGGUUGUAAACUGCUUUUGUACGGAACGAAAAGCCCCGGGUUAAUACCCUGGGGUCAUGACGGUACCGUAAGAAUAAGCACCGGCUAACUACGUGCCAGCCGCCGCCGUAA